rnacentral:lncRNA from 1 species
GUUACUUAGCCCACAGCGUUCGGUAUUCCCAAUCUUUAAGGCCCAAAUCGGUAAACCACCCCAAGAAAUCCGGACAGCGCGCCGCGUGGCCUUAAGCCCAGGCGGUCCACCCCUCCUUCGAGUUCGAUCAUUUCGUCCGCACUCGACAGUUUUCACUCGCUUCAUGUGCCGACUGGCGACUCCUCUCUCUCUCUCUCUCUCU